CCUACGGGAGGCAGCAGUGAGGAAUAUUGGUCAAUGGGCGCGAGCCUGAACCAGCCAAGUCGCGUGAAGGAAGACGGCCCUUCGUAUUGUAAACUUCUUUUGUCAGGGAAUAAAGUUGGACACGUGUCCCUUUUUGUGUGUACUUGAUGAAUAAGGAUCGGCUAACUCCGUGCCAGCAGCCGCGGUAAUACGGAGGAUCCGAGCGUUAUCCGGAUUUAUUGGGGUUAAAGGGAGCGUAGAUGGGGUGUUAAGUCAGUUGGGAAAGUUUGCGGCUCAACCGUAAAACGGCAAUUGAUACUGGCAGUCUUGAGUAGAGUUGAGGUAUGCGGAAUUCGUGGUGUAGCGGUGAAAUGCUUAGAUAUCACGAAGAACUCCGAUUGCGAAGGCAGCUUACUAAACUGACACUGACACUGAUGCACGAAAGUGUGGGUAUCAAACAGGAUUAGAUACCCGGGUAGUC
rnacentral:rRNA from 1 species